GGGGAGAGAAGGGCGUGAGACACGUAGGGGGCGUAGGGGUUAGGUUUGAUGCGGCGAUAUCGUGCGUGUCUCUCGCGCUCAAAGGUAUCGCGCGUCCGCGACGACGACACAUGGAGAGAACGAUGUCGGAGCAACCGGCUUUGCAGACGCAAACGGAAACAAUCUCCCCUGCGGACGUCACCGAUUCCGGGUCGCAGGAUGUACCUACUGUACGAUUACGUCUACGAAAGCCAAAAUCAAAUAAAAAGGUUCAGUGGACUCAAGGGACUGUAGAUAAUGAAAAUUUAAAUAAAAAGAAAUCAAAAUGUUGUUGUAUUUAUGAGAAACCAAAAACUUUUGGUGAAAGUAGUUCCGAAGAUAGUGAUGAUGAAUGUGAACAUUGUCAUGGAGAUAAAGAUUCUCAUAAGAAAGUAUUACCUAAACCUGGUGAUCCUGCGCGAGAAGGAAUGUCUUCACAUCCUGAACCGAUUGCAACAGGAUCAACAUAGUGCGUUUUCAUGCUUACUGACGUUUCCCUAAAUGGAAAACAAAUUCCUUUAUGCUAUUUCUGGAAUCAGUGUGUCAUACCGAAAAAGAUGAUGGAUUGUAGGUACACAAACGAUAACUAUGAUUUUGCACUAGUACAUGUCUUUAUAUUACAGUGCUUUAACAAUACCGCGCAGAUUACAAAAUGUUGUUCAAAUUGUUAAUUGUUAUAUACGGAUCUUGAGAAUAGUACAUUGUCCAACAUUCUUUGGAAAGUAACUUUAUCAUUCCAUAUAUAUAUAUAUUAUAUUUCCAAAUUAAUGUCAUUUUCUUUAUAUGUACUAUUUGUUAUUUACUAUCUAAUAUAGAAAUUUAGAUCAAUUUAGAUUUUAAGUGCUAAGAAAAUACGUGUUGUUACUUUUUGUGACUUACAUUAAUAAUUUAAUUACAAUAAUAUUGGUUCACACAUUUCAUUAUUACCAAAUGAAGUUUAGAAUCAUUUUCUGAUACGCAGGAAGAUGAGGAAUAUGUUAAAAUUUUAUUUUUGUUUGGGAAAUUUAUUAUAUUUAUAAUCUUAUUAUUGAUAUAUACAAGCUCAAAAAAUGAACUAAUGUAUUACAAGUUACGGCAUGUAUUAUCGUAUGUCAUAAUUAUAACUAAUUAUAUCUCAUUACAUACGACAAAGAAAAGAUAAAAGAUACAAAAUAGUGCACAUUUACAUUUAUUCCUUGUUUUCUCUAUCUAUAAGUAGACAAAUAAAAUUUGUAAAUAUUUCAAAUACAUUAUAUAUAAGACAAAAUAAAAUAAAGAUUCGAUAGAUCAUAUUCAUAAAAAGAAACAGAAUUAUCAGAAAAAAAUUAAUAUUCGUUGCACACUUUCAUUAAAAGUUUCAGCUUUUCUUUUUUUUCUUCAAAAAUUAAAACUUUUAAAUCUAGUUCCAUAUACAUAGACUUUAUAGUUAAAUUUCAAGUUGACGAUUUAAAAAUAUAACAUGGAAUAAAAUGGGACAUUUUUUAUCAUUAGGCAGAUCACUAAUCUAAUAUUUAUGAGUUGAAAAUGUUAAAAUAGUUUGAUAAUAAUCUGAGUAAGAAUGAUGUAAUUUUAAAAUCUUUUGUGUUAGAUAUUUUAUAAUUUUGCAUAACAGAUACAUCAACAAUAUUCUUAUGAUAUUUUUAUUCUUUUAACAACUUUCUUAGUAAUUUUUAAUUUUUUUUUUCAAAAUAGAAGUACUCAUCUAAUAAGAUUCUAUAUUGUCAAGAAAUGAAAGUCUGCAUAUCCAUUUACAUAAUUUCAGAUAAUCAAAAAUAUAUUCUCAUCAUAUUAGUGCUUUUACGCAAUAAUAGCAUUCUGGACGAUUUUGUAUAGUAUAACUUAAGUGCAAAAUAUAUCUCUAAGAUCUUGUAAAAAUAAAUGUUUAAAUUGGAAA
rnacentral:misc_RNA from 1 species